UUGUAAAUGAUUUGAGUCAAGUAGAAGUGAAAAGGACCGGUCCAAGGAACGACUCCGGGCUCAAUGCUGGACAAUUGUUCUGGUCCAUUUGGACUUCAGUAUCAAGAUUUACAAUCAACUUAAAUGAUGCUCCAACAAACUCAUGAUGGAAUGUAUUGCGGCGCAUGUAGCCCAAAGCUUAUCCCACACGCCGCGGCAGGCUAAGACACGGGGUUAAACACUGUGGACGCGUAACUCGGAACAAAUGCACAUAUACACGGUACUUAUUUGUUAUAGUAGGCGUACGCGUUAGAGCACUUACUUUAACGCUGCUGCCGUCCGUAGCCAUGCACCGAUUCCUUUUAUGCGCAAAUCUUUCCUGUUAAAAUACGGUCAACAGAAAGUUGCUCCCCGUGCUCACCCCGCCGCCAUGAUCCAAGGCCUUACACUCAAAAGGUGAGCGCGCUCAUAUAUAGGCCACACCACACCCACUGUGCCACCCCCAGACACCACAGUGUAGUGCACAGAGCCAAAGCGUGUGCACACCAGUCACGUGAGGAAACCAACAGAAAACCCACAAAUGGCUCCUACAGAAUGUACUGUUGAUUUAAACGGACCAGAAAAUCUGUGACAACAUUUAGAACAGUUUUCAUGCUUUUCAUAUUUUUAGUUUGAUAUAUUAUCAUGGAUUUAUUUGAUCAUUCACAAAGUCUCUAGAAACACAAUCUACAUUUGUAUGGACUUUAACACAUCAUGUUUUCUUUAUUCAGUUUGAGGAGCUGUGGUUUGUCAAAGAGGAGCUGUUCCUCUCUGGCCUCAGCUCUGAAGUCCAACCCCUCACAUCUCACAAAACUGAAUCUGGUUGGUAACAGACUGAGUUUAUCAGAUGUGGAGGAGCUCGUGGAGCUUAAACAGAGUCGUCACUGUCGACUGGAGACACUGGGGUGGUGAUUCUGAAGAUGUUGUGUGUCGUGUGCAGAACCCUGACAGAGCCCAGACACACAAACACAAACGCUGCAUUUUAUCCAAAGAAAACAGUGUGUCAUCUAAACUUCCUCCGGUCCUUUGGUAGUGAGGUGGUCCUACAAAAAAUGUCAUAAAAAAAGAACACCUCUAAAAUAAAAGAGAUGCAGCUUUAGUCGACACAUGAGGUGAAAUGAUGAAAUAUGUUGAUGUAAAAUGUUCAGGUUUAAAGAAAAAAACUGUUUAAUUUGAGCCUUUUGUUUCCAAGUCAAGUUUAAUUCACUUCCAAAACACAGAAGGUCCCACCGAGAUUUGAACUGAGAUCACUGGAUUCAGAAUAGAGCCCGGCCGAUAUAAUCGGCCGAUAUGGGCACCUGGAGACAUAUCGGCUGAUAUUUCACGUGGGCAUGUUAUACCUCGUUAUAAAGCUUAGACUCUCUACAUUCUGUUCAUUUAAUCCAAUUUACAGACAGAUAAAUGUCCAAAUAUGUGACUCUGCGUCA